GCCUGUCAGGGGUCGUGCCUUGAUGAGCUGGCCCUGGAAUCCCUCAUGCCUCUUCAGCUGCUUCAGAACUACAUCUUCCUGGGGACCUGUCAAGAGUACCUAGCCAAUCAGACUUCCCUCUGCAUCAAGAUGAAGCAGGAGUCUGUGGGUGUGGCCUGUGACAUCUGGGUGGAGGUGGACAGGGGUCUCACUAAAGAACAUCUGUUGGACACCUUCAUCAACUGUGUCCAGGUGGCUGGCCUGGCUCUGGAACAUAGUGGUGGUCCUUCACGUGGAGUAGGCCAUCGUCUCCCGGCUCUGGAACAGAGUGGAGGUCCUUCAUGUGGAGUAGGCCAUCGUCUCCCGGCUCUGGAACAUAGUGGAGGUCCUUCACGUGGAGUAGGCCAUCGUCUCCCGGCUCGCCCGGGAGACGAUGCCUAACUCCACGUGAAGGACCUCCCAACUAUGUUCUCAGAGCCGGGAGACUGGCCCUACUCCACGUGAAGGACCUCCACUAGUUUCCAGAGCCGGGAGACGAUGGCCUAACUCCACGUGAAGCACCUCCACUCUGUUCCACCAGAGCCAGGGGACGAUGGCCUACUCCACGUGAAGGACCUCCACUAUGUUUCCAGAGCCGGGAGACGAUGGCCUACCUCCAAGUGAAGGACCUCCACUAUGUUUCCCAGAGCCGGGAGAGAUGGCCUACUCCACGUGAAGGACCUCCACUCUGUUCCAGAGAAGCCGGAGGAGGCCAUGGGCCCUACUCCACUGAAGGACCUCCACUAUGUUCCAGAGCCGGGAGACGAUGGCCUACUCCACGUGAAGGACCUCCACUAUGUUCCAGAGCCGGGAGACGAUGGCCUACUCCCACGUGAAGGAACCUCCAACUAUGUUCCAGAGCCGGGAGAGAUGGCCUUACUCCAGGUGAAGGACCUCCACAUGUUCCAGAUCCGGGAGAACGAUGGCUACUCCACGUGAAGGACUCCACUAUGUUCCAGAGCCGGGAAGAACGAGGGCCCUACGCCACGUGAAGGACCUCCACUAUGUUCCGAGCCGGGAGACGAUGGCCUACUCCCGUGAAGGACCUCCACCUAUGUUUCCAGAGCCGGGAGACAAUGGCCUACUCCAUGAAGGACCUCCACUAUGUUCCAGAGCCGGGAGAACGCAUGGCGUACUCCUGUGAAGGACUCCACUAUGUUCCAGAGCCGGGAGACGAGGGCCUACUCCAACGUGAAGGACCUCCACUAUGUUCCAGAGCCGGGAGACGAUGGCCUACCUCCACAUGAAGGACCUCCACUUAUGGUG
rnacentral:lncRNA from 1 species